CGUAGGGGGCGAGCGUUGUCCGGAUUUAUUGGGCGUAAAACGCUUGUAGGCGGCCACAUCGCGUCGUGCGUGAAAUCUCCCGGCUCAACUGGGAGGGGUCGUGCGAUACGGAUGGGCUCGAGGCCGGUAGGGGGACGCGGAAUUCCCGGUGUAGUGGUGGAAUGCGUAGAUAUCGGGAGGAACACCAGUGGCGCGGGCGGCGUCCUGGACCGGCACUGACGCUGAGGAGCGAAAGCGUGGGGAGCGAUCCGGAUUAGAUACCCGGGUAGUCCACGCCGUAAACGGUGCGCACUAGGUGUCGGGGGUAUCGACCCCUCCGGUGCCGCAGCUAACGCAUUAAGUGCGCUGCCUGGGGAGUACGGCCGCAAGGCUA
rnacentral:rRNA from 1 species